GACGAACGCUGGCGGCGUGCUUAACACAUGCAAGUCGUACGGUAAGGCCCUUUCGGGGGUACACGAGUGGCGAACGGGUGAGUAACACGUGAGUAACCUGCCCACAACUUUGGGAUAACGCUAGGAAACUGGUGCUAAUACUGGAUAUGUGCUCCUGCUGCAUGGUGGGGGUUGGAAAGCUCCGGCGGUUGUGGAUGGACUCGCGGCCUAUCAGCUUGUUGGUGGGGUAGUGGCCUACCAAGGCGGCGACGGGUAGCCGGCCUGGGAGGGUGACCGGCCACAUUGGGACUGGGAUACGGCCCAGACUCCUACGGGAGGCAGCAGUGGGGAAUAUUGCACAAUGGGCGCAAGCCUGAUGCAGCAACGCCGCGUGCGGGAUGACGGCCUUCGGGUUGUAAACCGCUUUCAGCAGGGACGAAGCUUUUUGUGACGGUACCUGCAGAAGAAGCACCGGCUAACUACGUG
rnacentral:rRNA from 1 species